GACGAACGCUGGCGGCGUGCUUAACACAUGCAAGUCGAACGGAAAGGCCCUGCUUUUGUGGGGUGCUCGAGUGGCGAACGGGUGAGUAACACGUGAGUAACCUGCCCUUGACUUUGGGAUAACUUCAGGAAACUGGGGCUAAUACCGGAUAGGAGCUCCUGCUGCAUGGUGGGGGUUGGAAAGUUUCGGCGGUUGGGGAUGGACUCGCGGCUUAUCAGCUUGUUGGUGGGGUAGUGGCUUACCAAGGCUUUGACGGGUAGCCGGCCUGAGAGGGGGACCGGCCACAUGGGGACUAAGAUAGGGACCAGACUCCUACGGGAGGCAGCGGUGGGGAAUAUGGCACAAUGGGCGGAAGCCUGAUGAGGCAACGCCGCGUGCGGGAUGACGGCCUUCGGGGUGUAAACCGCUUUCGCCUGUGACGAAGCGUGAGUGACGGUAAUGGGUAAAGAAGCACCGGCUAACUACGUG
rnacentral:rRNA from 1 species